AACGCUGGAGAAGUAAAAAUUUAUAUGCGUAAGUGUCAUGUAUACUAUUAGUAAAAUGUUAACGAUAAUACCACGGGGCGUACGAUUUGAAUUUUUUUUAUUUUUUCGUUCCUUAUUUCGUUAUUGUUCAAAUCACGCUCCGAAAGUACAAGACGAAAAUCGAAAUGACCGGGAGAACACCGCGAGUUGCUAUAAUACGUCGGGCCGCGUUUGCUCGCGCCGUCCGGCGGAUG